AUACGUAGGGUGCGAGCGUUGUCCGGAAUUACUGGGCGUAAAGAGCUCGUAGGUGGUUUGUCGCGUCGUCUGUGAAAUUCCGGGGCUUAACUCCGGGCGUGCAGGCGAUACGGGCAUAACUUGAGUACUGUAGGGGAGACUGGAAUUCCUGGUGUAGCGGUGAAAUGCGCAGAUAGCAGGAGGAACACCGGUGGCGAAGGAGGGUCUCUGGGCGGUAACUGGCGCUGAGGGGCGAAAGCAUGGGUAGCGAACAGUAUUAGAUCCCCUGGUAGUCCAUGCCGUAAACGGUGGGCGCUAGGUGUAGGGGUCUUCCACGACUUCUGUGCCGUAGCUAACGCAUUAAGCGCCCCGCCUGGGGAGUACGGCCGCAAGGCUAAAACUCAAAGGAAUUGACGGGG
rnacentral:rRNA from 1 species